UCAUCGAAGAAGAAUAAAUUAUUCGUAGGGCAGACUCCUCCCUGCUGCAGUUCACAUGGAAGAUGUCAUUUGAACUAGUCACGAAUUUCUGUUGGGGUCUCCACAAGGAAAUGGCUGAGGGAUUACGUAUUUUUUUUCAAAAUUGGACAAUUCUUUAAUCCUGGACGCGAAUAUUUUAAUAACACUAGCAUUAUACCAUCGGAUAUGUGUGUUUUGAGUUUAGUUGAAGUCAAUUUGGCCAACACAACGGGAAAAUAAUAAUUUCGAACUUUUCGGACUCACCUCGGACUUGCUGCUGUUAGUUUACCACCUAGCGAUAACACCUGAUAUAGCUAGCUAAAUAGUUUUAAGUAAUUUGGGACAGUUAGUAGUGAUGGCUGGUAAUUAACUUGAGGGAGGCUUUUACAACAAGAUAACUAAUUUCUUAUACGAAAUACGACUAAAGUACAAGCAAGGUAAAGGAUAAAACCGGCAACUUUUUAUUGAAGUUGUCUCGAGCGAAAAUGAACAAUUGUACCGUUAGCACCUAGCUAGCAAAUUAUCUAACGGUAGCUAGUUGACAGUGACGUCAGGGGAAAUUGGGUAUGGUGUUGCAACUUUGUAACGUCAACGUUACCUACUUUAGAUUUGUUUAUCAAUUUAACUAGCUACAGUAGCUGAUUUAGCACAGCAUGCUAAUGAUGCGGGAUUCAACUGUGAAUUUCAGUGUUCUCCAUAGAACUUGCAAAUUGGUCGUCAUUCUUUGUUUUCUCCAUAUUUCGGUCACUUUAAUUUUUUACGUGAGGUCGUUAGAUAUUCCAUUUUCGUUUGCACAAAAUCAGCAAGCACACGCAGCGAAAAAGCAUAACCAAACUACAUCAGAGGACACCAAACCUGACGUGGUUGAAACGAACCGCUUUUCUGUAGACAACGUGACAUCUACAUUCAACAAAGAACUUGUAAAAUGUUUUGACACUUCACCACUGCUUGUGGGCCCACUGCGAAUUGAGUUUUCUAACCCAGUCAGCCUUGAUGUGGUAAGGAAGGAGAACCCCAAUCUUCAGAAUGGGGGGCGCUUCAGGCCCAAAGACUGUGUGGCCCUCCAGAAGGUGGCUAUCAUCAUCCCUUUCCGCAACCGCGACGAGCACCUCAAGUUUUGGCUGUACUACCUCCAUCCCAUCCUUCAGCGCCAGCAGCUGGACUACGGCAUCUACGUUAUCAACCAGGACGGUGAUGAGAUCUUUAACCGCGCCAAGCUCCUCAACGUUGGCUACACAGAGGCCCUGAAGGAGUACGACUAUGGCUGCUUUGUUUUCAGCGAUGUGGACCUAAUCCCUAUGGAUGACCGCAACACCUACAAGUGCUUCAGCCAGCCCAGGCACCUGUCUGUCUCCAUGGACAAGUUUGGCUUCAGGUUGCCGUACAACCAGUAUUUUGGGGGGUGUGUCGUCAAUGAGCAAGGAGCAGUUCCUCAAGAUCAACGGCUUCCCCAACAACUACUGGGGCUGGGGAGGGGAGGACGACGACAUUUUCAACAGGCUGAGCUCCAAGGGGAUGACCAUCUCACGGCCCAGCGGAGCCGUGGGGAAAUGCAGGAUGAUCCGCCACAACCGGGAUGGUGGGAAUGAAGACAACCCUCAGAGGUUCGACCGCAUCGCCCACACCAGGGAGACAAUGAACAAAGACGGCAUCAAAACCCUGUCGUACAAAGUGGUCAAAGUGGAGAAGGAUCAAUUAUACACCAAAAUUACUGUGGACGUGGGAAAGAAAGACUGAGAGAACCAAUAAAACAUGAACAGCCUUGACAACCUGUGGUGGAUGCAGUAACCAAAUGUGCCUUGACAUUGUAAAUAAUGAUAUGCCUUGGACUCUUUGGACUACAGAGAAUGACUGAUCUGAUCAGCAAACAAACGUUCCCUUUAUUUUCGGCCUUUGCACAUCCGAUGGUGAAUUGAACUGGGAUUCCAGCUUUUUCUUUAUAGGAUCCAUAAAUCAUUGACACCAGGAAUGACCGUUGACAUUCAGUACAUUGACACACUGUUGGUUUCCUAUUGGGCUUGUACGUACUCCACACUCUUUUUGAAGAUUGCUGCUGCGACAAAAGUCCUUUGUGAGCCAUUUUGUCUUGACGGGUGGUUGUAAAAUGAUUCAUUUAUUGUCCUAUGCAUCGGGGACUCUCAAUUCAUUUUGUAUGUCUAUUUCUUUCUAGUACUGUUGAUGUUGUUUUGGCAUCAUUGUAGUUUUCUGUCACUUUUGUGAGAUAUUUGCUAUUCCUUUUGAUUCCUUUGCUGAUCGAGCAAGGUUUCAACCCAUUCAAUGCCAAGUGCUCAGGCCAAAGAUUGAACUUCAAAUUGUAGAGUUCCAUAACAAACCAAGUCACUUUUAUUUUUUUCAAAGGCAACCAAACAAUGAUCUUAAGAUUGUUGUACUUUUGGAUACAUUCACAACCUUUUGAUAGGGCAUCAAAGGGCCUAGAACUCCAAAAAUAUAUUUUUUUUUUUUAAAGUCCAAAUCCCAUGAUAGUUAUAUUAGAGAAGGGGUCCUUAAGGGUAUUUGAACUAUCUUGAAAGUGUCUCCGUUGAAGCUCCCUUCCCUGUGAAGAGCACCAUUCCAGGUAGCCUCUAAGGAGGCCUCUCCCUGGUGGAAAAUAGGUACCUGAAUGUAUUUGCCUGGUGGUGUGUGUGUGUGUGUGUGUGUGUGUGUGUGUGUGUGUGUGUGUGUGUGUGUGUGCCCUGAGGUAAAAUGCUACCAUGCUGUUGUCUGUCAUGAGUGUCUGGCGUUCUACUUUUUUUGUCUACGAGAGUGGAUUCUAUGCUGAAAAGGAUCCUCUUGUAGUCCGUGUAUGUCUUAAGGAAGUGUGAGGGUUAGAAAAACAAGCAUUUUGUAUCCUCAAUACCUAGUAAUCAAUAACCUUAAAGACAUCCGCAUGUUUUUAAACUGGACGGUCACCAUGUCUUCCUCACAGGUACUUUAUAGAUCCUCAUAUACAGUGAAAAUGGCUCAAGCUUGUGAGCCAUGGGGCAUGAUGUUGCACAAGUAAAGUUAGUAACUCAAUCUUGAGAAAAAAAGCCAUUGAGAUUUCUGACUGGAUGGAACAGAAUAAUUGUGCUGUCCAUACUUAGGCUUAAAUGUUUGCCAUUCCUCUCCUGACUGCUUCUUAAUUAUAUCAGUGCUGGUGUCUGGAGAAUCUAUAAAAUGACUGCCAUUUCUGCCUUAUCUAAAUAAACUUGAAAAUAUACAUUAAUUGGUCAACAUUUUGAUGUCAUUGGGUUGCUCUUCAAGCUGUAAGCCUUUAUGGGCUUGGCCAGGAAACCCAAUAUCGUGGGCUUAUUCAACUAUGAUGGAAAUCCUUUUAUGGUGACUAGAGGAUUGUCAGCUCUAUGCAACACAUUUCUAUGCUUUAAAUUUGGAGUGGUUGCCAACUUGAGUACAUCUUAAAGGCCUCAUCACCACAUACCUCCUCACUCUGUCUGGUAGCCACACACAAACGCUCUAAAGACAUGGGAGAUGCCUUGCAUGCAGGGAUGCAUUAUGUGCAAUGCAUACUAUUUUUAUCUCAUUUUCUCAAUCCACCCAAAGGCUCUUUCAGAGUUAAACUAAGGUCUUUAUAGGUUGGCUAAAGCCAGGUUGUGUACCUCCCAUAGACAAUGGCCUUUGAGAGCCAGCAUUUUGUAUGUCAAGUGUGAAUUCAGUUUGUUUUACAAAAGUUAGCUGGCUAAUCUGCAGGGCUUCAUUACUGUUCCUUUUUCUCUUCAUGGUUUCCAUUAUGAUUCAAUGUGUGCAUGUAUGUGUAUGCUUAUGCAUUUGUAGAAAUCACGUCUUUGUAAAUCUUUUGCUGGCUCUUCACAUUUUCAUUCAAAAAUGUAUACUGACUUGCAGCAAUGUUUUUGUGUUGAUUUAAAAAAAAAAAUCUGUCUAGGUAAUUAAAUAUUUAAGUAAA